rnacentral:rRNA from 1 species
UGCGGCAGGCCUAACACAUGCAAGUCGAGCGCACCUUCGGGUGAGCGGCGGACGGGUUAGUAACGCGUGGGAACGUACCCUUUUCUACGGAAUAGCCUUUGGAAACGAAGAGUAAUACCGUAUACGCCCUUUGGGGGAAAGAUUUAUCGGAGAAGGAUCGGCCCGCGUUAGAUUAGAUAGUUGGUGGGGUAACGGCCUACCAAGUCUACGAUCUAUAGCUGGUUUUAGAGGAUGAUCAGCAACACUGGGACUGAGACACGGCCCAGACUCCUACGGGAGGCAGCAGUGGGGAAUCUUAGACAAUGGGCGCAAGCCUGAUCUAGCCAUGCCGCGUGAGUGAUGAAGGCCUUAGGGUCGUAAAGCUCUUUCGCCUGUGAUGAUAAUGACAGUAGCAGGUAAAGAAACCCCGGCUAACUCCGUGCCAGCAGCCGCGGUAAUACGGAGGGGGUUAGCGUUGUUCGGAAUUACUGGGCGUAAAGCGCACGUAGGCGGAUUGGAAAGUUGGGGGUGAAAUCCCGGGGCUCAACCCCGGAACUGCCUCCAAAACUAUCAGUCUAGAGUUCGAGAGAGGUGAGUGGAAUUCCAAGUGUAGAGGUGAAAUUCGUAGAUAUUUGGAGGAACACCAGUGGCGAAGGCGGCUCACUGGCUCGAUACUGACGCUGA